rnacentral:rRNA from 1 species
GACGGAGGGUGCAAGUGUUAUCCGGAAUCACUGGGCGUAAAGCGUCUGUAGGUGGUCAAAUAAGUCAACUGUUAAAUCUUGAGGCUCAACCUCAAAACCGCAGUCGAAACUAUUAGACUAGAGUAUAGUAGGGGUAAAGGGAAUUUCCAGUGGAGCGGUGAAAUGCGUAGAGAUUGGAAAGAACACCGAUGGCGAAGGCACGUUACUGGGCUAUGACUAACACUCAGAGACGAAAGCUAGGGUAGCAAAUGGG